UGGCUCACCAAGGCGACGAUGCGUAGCCGACCUGAGAGGGUGAUCGGCCACAUUGGGACUGAGACACGGCCCAGACUCCUACGGGAGGCAGCAUG
rnacentral:rRNA from 1 species